UACGUAGGGGGCUAGCGUUGUCCGGAAUCAUUGGGCGUAAAGCGCGUGUAGGCGGUUCGGUAAGUCCGCUGUGAAAGUCGGGGGCUCAACCCUCGAAAGCCGGUGGAUACUGUCGGACUAGAGUGCGGAAGAGGCGAGUGGAAUUCCUGGUGUAGCGGUGAAAUGCGCAGAUAUCAGGAGGAACACCGGUGGCGAAGGCGGUUCUCUGGGCAUUACCUGACGCUGAGGAGCGAAAGUGUGGGGAGCGAACAGG
rnacentral:rRNA from 1 species